rnacentral:rRNA from 1 species
CCUACGGGUGGCUGCAGUGAGGAAUAUUGGUCAAUGGACGAGAGUCUGAACCAGCCAAGUAGCGUGAAGGAUGACUGCCCUAUGGGUUGUAAACUUCUUUUAUAUGGGAAUAAAAUGUUCCACGUGUGGGAUUUUGUAGGUACCAUAUGAAUAAGGAUCGGCUAACUCCGUGCCAGCAGCCGCGGUAAUACGGAGGAUCCGAGCGUUAUCCGGAUUUAUUGGGUUUAAAGGGAGCGUAGGUGGAUUGUUAAGUCAGUUGUGAAAGUUUGCGGCUCAACCGUAAAAUUGCAGUUGACACUGGCAGUCUUGAGUACAGUAGAGGUGGGCGGAAUUCGUGGUGUAGCGGUGAAAUGCUUAGAUAUUACGAAGAACUCCGAUUGCGAAGGCAGUUCACUGGACUGCAACUGACACUGAGGCUCGAAAGUGUGGGUAUCAAACAGGAUUAGAUACCCCUGUAGUC